rnacentral:rRNA from 1 species
UAUUGCACAAUGGGGGGAACCCUGAUGCAGCCAUGCCGCGUGUAUGAAGAAGGCCUUCUGGUUGUAAAGUACUUUCAGCGGGGAGGAAGGGAGUAAAGUUAAUACCUUUGCUCAUUGUCGUUACCCGCAGAUGAAGCACCGGCUAAUUCCUUUCCAGCAGCCGCGGUAAUACGGAGGGUGCAAGCGUUAAUCGGAAUUACUGGGCGUAAAGCGCACGCAGGCGGUUUGUUAAGUCAGAUGUGAAAUCCCCGGGCUCAACCUGGGAACUGCAUCUGAUACUGGCAAGCUUGAGUCUCGUAGAGGGGGGUAGAAUUCCAGGUGUAGCGGUGAAAUGCGUAGAGAUCUGGAGGAAUACCGGUGGCGAAGGCGGCCCCCUGGACGAAGACUGACGCUCAGGUGCGAAAGCGUGGGGAGCAAA